AUGCUUUCCUUCAAAUAUGUAUUUUCUCUUCGCCUUCGUCUAAGUUAUUCUACUUCGCCUCUGUGUGAUUUACUCUGCUCUGUGUUGCAUUUGGUUUAUUGUCGUGGACGUGUGUGGUCUGUGAAUGAAUUGGUUUUUUACAGAUUGCUGAUGCGGCUGACAGUGGGGUUCAAGUGCGUGGUGAGUUCAUGCAGAGGGACUGAGUUGCGGAUUUCUGGUGGUUACAGUGGGUGA